CAACCCUCAAGCGUAGCUUGGUCUUGGGCUUCGCCGCUGACGCGGCGGGUCUUAAAAUCAGUGGCGGUGCCGUCGGGCCCUGAGCGCAGUACAUCUCCUCGCUAUAGGACCCCGGCGGAUGCUAGCCAGCAACCCCCAAUCUUCCAU
rnacentral:misc_RNA from 1 species